rnacentral:rRNA from 1 species
UAAGAGAGUUUGAUCCUGGCUCAGGAUGAACGCUGGCGGUAUGCCUAACACAUGCAAGUCGUACGAGAGUUUUUAACUCAAGUGGCGGACGGGUGAGUAACACGUGAGAAUUUACCUUUAGGAGGGGGAUAACAAUUGGAAACGAUUGCUAAUACCCCAUAUGCUUAAGAGUGAAACAGAUUUAUCUGCCUAAAGAAAAGCUCGCGGCUGAUUAGCUUGUUGGUAAGGUAAUGGCUUACCAAGGCGACGAUCAGUAUCUGGUUUGAGAGGACGAUCAGACACACUGGAACUGAGACACGGUCCAGACUCCUACGGGAGGCAGCAG